rnacentral:tRNA from 1 species
GCGCCUGUAGCUCAGUGGGUAGAGCACUAGCCACGUAUACCAAGGCUGGCAGGUUCGAACCCUGCUGGGCCUG